rnacentral:rRNA from 1 species
UCCGCAGGCGGAUUUAUAAGUCAGUGGUGAAAGCCUACAGCUUAACUGUAGAACUGCCAUUGAUACUGUAAGUCUUGAAUUCGAUCGAAGUGGGCGGAAUGUGUAGUGUAGCGGUGAAAUGCUUAGAUAUUACACAGAACACCGAUAGCGAAGGCAGCUCACUAGGUCUGGAUUGACGCUCAGGGACGAAAGCGUGGGGAGCAAACAGGAUUAGAUACCCGCGUA